rnacentral:rRNA from 1 species
AUACGGAGGGGGCAAGCGUUGUUCGGAAUUACUGGGCGUAAAGGGCGCGCAGGCGGUUUUGUUAGUCAGGCGUGAAAUCCCCGGGCUCAACCUGGGAAUUGCGUUUGAUACUGCGAAACUAGAGUUCGGGAGAGGGUAGUGGAAUUCCCAGUGUAGAGGUGAAAUUCGUAGAUAUUGGGAAGAACACCAGUGGCGAAGGCGGCUACCUGGACCGAUACUGACGCUGAGGCGCGAAAGCGUGGGGAGCAAACAGGAUUAGAUACCCCAGUAGUCC